UACGUAGGGGGCGAGCGUUGUCCGGAUUUAUUGGGCGUAAAGAGCGUGUAGGCGGUUCGGUAAGUCUGUCGUGAAAUCCUGAGGCUCAACCUCGGACGUGCGAUGGAUACUGCCGGGCUAGAGGAUGGUAGAGGCGAGUGGAAUUCCCGGUGUAGCGGUGAAAUGCGCAGAUAUCGGGAGGAACACCAGUGGCGAAGGCGACACGCUGGGCCGUACCUGACACUGAUGCGCGACAGCAUGGGGAGCAAACAGG
rnacentral:rRNA from 1 species